rnacentral:rRNA from 1 species
UACGUAGGGGGCAAGCGUUGUCCGGAAUCAUUGGGCGUAAAGAGCGCGUAGGCGGUCCGGUAAGUCCGCUCUGAAAGUCCGAGGCUCAACCUCGGGCGUGCGAUGGAUACUGCCGGGCUAGAGGGUGGUAGAGGCGAGUGGAAUUCCCGGUGUAGAGGUGAAAUUCGUAGAUAUCGGGAGGAACACCGGUGGCGAAGGCGGCGACCUGGGUAGAUACUGACGCUGAGGUGCGAAAGCGUGGGGAGCAAACAGG